CCAUAUAAGCGUUGAAACCCCCCGGUUCCCGUACAAUCACCGAAGUUAAGCAACUUCGAGCCUGGUCAGUACCUAGAUGGGUGACCGCUUGUGAAUACCAGGUGCUGUAAG